UGGGGAAUAUUGCACAAUGGGGGAAACCCUGAUGCAGCGACGCCGCGUGAACGAAGAAGGUAUUCGUAUCGUAAAGUUCUGUCCUAUGGGAAGAUAAUGACAGUACCAUAGAAGAAAGCUCCGGCUAAAUACGUGCCAGCAGCCGCGGUAAUACGUAUGGAGCGAGCGUUGUCCGGAGUUAUUGGGCGUAAAGGGUACGCAGGCGGUUUAAUAAGUCGAAUGUUAAAGAUCGGGGCUCAACCCCGCAAAGCAUUGGAAACUGAUAAACUUGAGUAGUGGAGAGGAAAGUGGAAUUCCUAGUGUAGUGGUGAAAUACGUAGAUAUUAGGAGGAAUACCAGUAGCGAAGGCGACUUUCUGGACACAAACUGACGCUGAGGUACGAAAGCGUGGGGAGCAAACAGG
rnacentral:rRNA from 1 species